rnacentral:rRNA from 1 species
AGUGAACGCUGGCGGUAGGCCUAACACAUGCAAGUCGAACGGCAGCACAGUAAGAGCUUGCUCUUACGGGUGGCGAGUGGCGGACGGGUGAGGAAUACAUCGGAAUCUACUUUUUCGUGGGGGAUAACGUAGGGAAACUUACGCUAAUACCGCAUACGACCUACGGGUGAAAGCAGGGGAUCUUCGGACCUUGCGCGAUUGAAUGAGCCGAUGUCGGAUUAGCUAGUUGGCGGGGUAAAGGCCCACCAAGGCGAGGAUCCGUAGCUGGUCUGGGAGGAUGAUCACCCACACUGGAACUGAGACGCGGCCCUGACUCCUACGGGAGGCAGCAGUGGGGAAUAUUGGACAAUGGGCGCAAGCCUGAUCCAGCCAUACCGCGUGGGUGAAGAAGGCCUUCGGGUUGUAAAGCCCUUUUGUUGGGAAAGAAAAGCAGCAGGUUAAUACCCCGCUGUUCUGACGGUACCCAAAGAAUAAGCACCGGCUAACUUCGU